rnacentral:rRNA from 1 species
GACGAACGCUGGCGGCGUGCUUAACACAUGCAAGUCGAACGGAAAGGCCCUGCUUUUGUGGGGUGCUCGAGUGGCGAACGGGUGAGUAACACGUGAGUAACCUGCCCUUGACUUUGGGAUAACUUCAGGAAACUGGGGCUAAUACCGGAUAGGAGCUCCUGCUGCAUGGUGGGGGUUGGAAAGUUUCGGCGGUUGGGGAUGGACCCGCGGCUUAUCAGCUUGUUGGUGGGGUAGUGGCUUACCAAGGCUUUGACGGGUAGCCGGCCUGAGAGGGUGACCGGCCACAUUGGGACUGAGAUACGGCCCAGACUCCUACGGGAGGCAGCAGUGGGGAAUAUUGCACAAUGGGCGAAAGCCUGAUGCAGCAACGCCGCGUGCGGGAUGACGGCCUUCGGGUUGUAACCGCUUUCGCCUGUGACGAAGCGUGAGUGACGGUAAUGGGUAAAGAAGCACCGGCUAACUACGUG